UACAGAGGUCUCAAGCGUUGUUCGGAUUCAUUGGGCGUAAAGGGUGCGUAGGUGGCGCCGUAAGUCGGGUGUGAAAUUUCGGAGCUUAACUCCGAAACUGCAUUCGAUACUGCGGUGCUUGAGGACUGGAGAGGAGACUGGAAUUCAUGGUGUAGCAGUGAAAUGCGUAGAUAUCGGGAGGAACACCAGUGGCGAAGGCGGCUAUCUGGGCUGAAACUGACGCUGAGGCGCGAAGGCUAGGGGAGCAAACAGG
rnacentral:rRNA from 1 species